rnacentral:rRNA from 1 species
AUUGAACGCUGGCGGCAUGCCUUACACAUGCAAGUCGAACGGCAGCACGGGGCAACCUGGUGGCGAGUGGCGAACGGGUGAGUAAUGCAUCGGAACAUGUCCAUGUCGUGGGGGAUAGCCCGCCGAAAGGCGGAUUAAUACCGCAUACGCCCGAGAGGGGAAAGUGGGGGACCGCAAGGCCUCACGCGAUUGGGUUGGCCGAUGUCCGAUUAGCUAGUUGGUGGGGUAAAGGCUUACCAAGGCGAUGAUCGGUAGCUGGUCUGAGAGGAUGAUCAGCCACACUGGGACUGAGACACGGCCCAGACUCCUACGGGAGGCAGCAGUGGGGAAUUUUGGACAAUGGGGGCAACCCUGAUCCAGCCAUUCCGCGUGAGUGAAGAAGGCCUUCGGGUUGUAAAGCUCUUUUGUCCGGAGCGAAACGGUGCGGGUGAAUAUCCUGCGCUACUGACGGUACCGGAAGAAUAAGCACCGGCUAACUACGUGCCAGCCGCCGCCGUAACAC